AGCGAACGCUGGCGGCAGGCCUAACACAUGCAAGUCGAACGAACCUUUCGGGGUUAGUGGCGGACGGGUGAGUAACACGUGGGAACGUGCCUUUAGGUUCGGAAUAACUCAGGGAAACUUGUGCUAAUACCGAAUGUGCCCUUCGGGGGAAAGAUUUAUCGCCUUUCGAGCGGCCCGCGUCUGAUUAGCUAGUUGGUUGAGGUAAUGGCUCACCAAGGCGACGAUCAGUAGCUGGUCUGAGAGGAUGAUCAGCCACAUUGGGACUGAGACACGGCCCAAACUCCUACGGGAGGCAGCAGUGGGGAAUCUUGCGCAAUGGGCGAAAGCCUGACGCAGCCAUGCCGCGUGAAUGAUGAAGGUCUUAGGAUUGUAAAAUUCUUUCACCGGGGACGAUAAUGACGGUACCCGGAGAAGAAGCCCCGGCUAACUUCGUG
rnacentral:rRNA from 1 species